AGAGAGUGAACGGUUGCCGCGAGGGAAUGGAAGGCUGGACAGAGAAUGGCGAGCGAGCGAGCGAGCGAGGAGAUGAUGAAAAGACUCGUCGGGGAGAAUCGUCGGUCGCGUCGCUAAUUACGUCGCGAUCGUCAAUGGUAUGUGGAAGAUCGUUCCGUACGGCUUUAUCGUGCGCAUUUAUCCCGGAUUUUGUCGAACGGUUUAUAACCGUAAAUUGAUUUUCCCAAGCAUUUUCCGCCAAUUGUUCCGGAUUAUAGCGAACGGAAUUUUCAAGGGAUUUCCGCAGUGGGGCGAGUACCGGCUAUGUUGUCCGUGGAUUAUCGAUUUCCGGGCCGUGUUAUUUGCCGCUCGAUACACACAGUGUCCCAGGGAUAUCUUUGUAUCUUUUAUUCUCUCGUGUUUUCUUUUCUAGAAAAUUAUCGUUUCGUUGUGCCGGUAUAAAGACGCGAGCGCGGCGCGUAAAACCAAGGUUUUAUCCCGUGGACGUGCAUAAAUCUGCUGGACGAUCGUGGAACCCGGGUAAAAGCGUUCUCGAUAGUCGUUCAAUACCUAAAUAUUCGUAUACGACGGGGCGGCGAUCGAUCGUUUUUCCCUUAGAAUGAAGUACCGCCAGCCAACAUUUAUCUUCGGUGCCGAGCGGUUAGUACAAAAAUUAGCUUCUCGUCGCGUUGGUGCAAGAAAAUAGUGGCAAGGAUGUCGGAUCUGCAUAAUCUUGAAGGAGUUCCGUGCUGGUAAGAAGAAGACGAGGAAGAACAGGGGAGGGGGAGGAAGACGCAGACGGAGAAGCCGAAGAGCGAGAGAAGAGGCGAAGACGAUGAUAAAGAAGAAAACCAGACGUGCAGGGACAAAACGAGCGGCGCUGAAGAGGAUGGGAACGCCCGAGAAGUCUAAUCCACAUUCAUCAGGCUUAUAAAACACCGGGAGACGCUCCAGGAAGGAGAUACCUACACCUACCUUACCUCCGUCGACUGCCACGUACUCCUCCGACAGCGGCGGUGGCGGCGGCGACGGUGACGGCGGCGCGGCGAGAAUAAACUCUGUCUCUGAACUCCGGUAACAUCAUUACAGUCGGAGACGAGUUGCAAGAAGAAGGGCGCGCAAGGUACGCUCUUUCUCUUUCUCUUUCUCUCUCUACGUUUUCAUCGACAUUCAUAUUAAAGAACCGGCACGAUAACGAACUUUAUUUAGGGCAAGUGCAAGCGUCUGGCAGUCUAAUCAGCAUUCAUUCAACCGAUGGCAAAACCGCGGCGAGGAAUCCCCCGGUCCCGAGGACCUGCUCGUGGUCCUGAUGCCACGGACCGACGAGCAUAACGAGCAAAUGUGGACGAGACGAAAAGAAGCGACGACGAGAAGAGGGAAGGCGGAAGAGGGAAAGAGGACGCACCGUCAUUUUUCUUUACUGGCGUUUAAGCACGUAGAGCCAUUAAUUUGAAGCUUUUUUUUUAAGCGCCACCACGAUCGACCGAGAGAAUCGUUAACCAUCACCGACGCUCUCCGAGCGUAGGGUCCGCGCGAUUUUUAAAACAAAGUUAAUAAUGGGCCAAGACACGGAUGGCAUAAAUUUGAUGAACCAAUCGCAUUUGGGAUGCAGUCGAUCUCUCCGGGCGAGGAUCGACCGCGAAUGAGAGAAACGAGAUCAUCCCGCGAGCUCAAUGAAUUUCGAAGGCGUACGGGUUAUCACUAAUAGCGGAUACCAGCGGCGAACAGCGGCGAACAGCGGCGAACAGCGGGUCCAUACGUUUUCUCGCGAGCACGCGAGACAGUGCAUUUCGCAUGCGUCGUAUUCAUGCAUAUGUAUUUGCAUAAUAGACGCCUGCAAAGUCAUACGUACGCGUUGUACGUGCGUGUACAUAUUUACAUAUGUAUGUAAAUGCACGCGGUAUAAUAUGCAUUACCGAUCACGAGCCAUGCCGCGGCAGUUUUCAACGAGCUUACGGUUCGGAGUUCCGAACCAAAACUGCCGCGCCGGUGUAUCGCCGUUGUAAUUGUUAUUGCACGCCCAGCGGCUUUAUACCGUUUAUUAUGUUAAAUUACUAUCUAUUGCUAAAUCACGUUAUCAGUAGAAUGAUCGGGCAGCAUAAAUUUUUUGCUCACAGACCGAUUAUGGUGCAUGAUAUUAACAAUAAUUGUUAAUAAAUUUGUGAAACAUUUCUAAGUAAAAUCUAAGACACGUUAAAAUAACGAAUAUGGAAAAACUGUA